rnacentral:rRNA from 1 species
GAUGAACGCUGGCGGCGUGCCUAAUACAUGCAAGUCGAGCGAAUGGAUUAAGAGCUUGCUCUUAUGAAGCUAGCGGCGGACGGGUGAGUAACACGUGGGUAACCUGCCCAUAAGACUGGGAUAACUCCGGGAAACCGGGGCUAAUACCGGAUAACAUUUUGAGCCGCAUGGUUCGAAAUUGAAAGGCGGCUUCGGCUGUCACUUAUGGAUGGACCCGCGUCGCAUUAGCUAGUUGGUGAGGUAACGGCUCACCAAGGCAACGAUGCGUAGCCGACCUGAGAGGGUGAUCGGCCACACUGGGACUGAGACACGGCCCAGACUCCUACGGGAGGCAGCAGUAGGGAAUCUUCCGCAAUGGACGAAAGUCUGACGGAGCAACGCCGCGUGAGUGAUGAAGGCUUUCGGGUCGUAAAACUCUGUUGUUAGGGAAGAACAAGUGCUAGUUGAAUAAGCUGGCACCUUGACGGUACCUAACCAGAAAGCCACGGCUAACUACGUGCCAGCAGCCGCAGUAA